rnacentral:tRNA from 1 species
GAGGGUAUAGCCCAGUGGUAGAGCGCAUGCUUAGCAUGCACGAGGUCCUGGGUUCAAUCCCCAGCACCUCCA